GUAAGAAGAAGUAAGGAAACUUCUCAGAAAUUUCUUAAAUGUGUUAAUGGGUCACAUGUAGUGUUAAGUUAAACAUGUUUAGGUUAAACCUUAAGCUUACAUGUGCACCAUUAAGAAAGAGAGUUGACAAGCAGACAAGAGUUUGGUGAUGACUGAGCUGUCUUAAGAGUAGUAUAAAUAGAGGUUUGAGGUCUGAUUUUUAGUCAUUUGUUAUUCUGAAAUUUGAAGAGAAAAGCUUAAGAACUGAGGUGCUGCUAAUUUGCCUAAGCGAGAAGAAGAAGAAGCUAAGUUUAGAGUAGACGUUAAGAUCAAGCGAGGAAGGGUGAAAGACUUGCUAGGUGAGAAUCAGCCAAGACGUUUAAGCUUAAGUUUAAUUUGUUUGUAUUAUAUUUAUGUAUGUAAAGUUGUUGGAAGAACUUGGACAAAGAUUAAUAAAGAUUAGUUGGUUAUUUCUCUGUGUAUGUUUAUCGCCUAAAAACAAUGGUUAAGUUGUAAGUUGUACAAGAAAAAGUUUUCAGGUGAUUAACUAAAGCUUAAGGACCUCAAGAAUGAGUGCCUUUGGCGUUUAAACAUGCCAAGGGUACUCUAGUCGCACCGAAUCUCGUAGGAAAAGCAAGGACGUCUGCGGGACGAGGUGUGACACUAUCUCCAUUAUUUGUACCUAAAUGGAGACUAGCAUCAAUAAUUGGGGUCUUUCCUAUCACAAUGCAUGACAUAUAUUUUUUAUAUAUAUAUUUCUCAAGCAUUUUACCAACAUAAUAUGAUUGAGACAACACUAACAGUUGUAAGGUUUUAGAAUAUUUAAUACCUACAAUAACAUAUGCGAAAUCGGCAAGGUCUUUCAUCUUAAA